rnacentral:rRNA from 1 species
UACGUAGGGGUCUAGCGUUGUCCGGAAUUACUGGGCGUAAAGCGCACGCAGGCGGUCUGUCAAGUCGGAUGUGAAAUCCCCGGGCUCAACCUGGGAACUGCAUUCGAAACUGGCAGGCUAGAGUCUUGUAGAGGGGGGUAGAAUUCCAGGUGUAGCGGUGAAAUGCGUAGAGAUCUGGAGGAAUACCGGUGGCGAAGGCGGCCCCCUGGACAAAGACUGACGCUCAGGUGCGAAAGCGUGGGGAGCAAACAGG